AUUGAACGCUGGCGGCAGGCCUAACACAUGCAAGUCGAGCGGUGGCACAGGGAGCUUGCUCCUGGGUGACGAGCGGCGGACGGGUGAGUAAUGUCUGGGAAACUGCCUGAUGGAGGGGGAUAACUACUGGAAACGGUAGCUAAUACCGCAUAACGUCGCAAGACCAAAGAGGGGGACCUUUGGGCCUCUUGCCAUCAGAUGUGCCCAGAUGGGAUUAGCUAGUAGGUGGGGUAACGGCUCACCUAGGCGACGAUCCCUAGCUGGUCUGAGAGGAUGACCAGCCACGCUGGAACUGAGACACGGUCCAGACUCCUACGGGAGGCAGCAGUGGGGAAUAUUACACAAUGGGCGCAAGCCUGAUGCAGCCAUGCCGCGUGUAUGAAGAAGGCCUUCGGGUUGUAAAGUACUUUCAGCGGGGAGGAAGGCGAUAAGGUUAAUAACCUUGUCGAUUGACGUUACCCGCAGAAGAAGCACCGGCUAACUCCGUGCCAGCCGCCGCGGUAAUAC
rnacentral:rRNA from 1 species